GCCUAUAUAUCUUAUGUAUGUUUACUUAAACAUAGUUUCACGACUAUGUUAUAUAACACUAUAUGUUAUAUAUUACUGUUGUUAUUAGUACAAGAACAAUCUUGUAGUAUUUACCUGUAUUUAUUUAUCUAGUGAUUCCUCUGAUUCCCUGAUUUACAUGUCAGAGGUUUGUACAGCCAACUACGUAUAAGUUGGUAGUACGAGAGGUACGAGUAUGCCAGAACACUGUUGAACUACCACAGUCCAACUCCCAAACUUCACUCAAGGUUUGGUAAUUGGAACUCCAGGAAACGCAGGGUCACCGUACCGUACCUAACGUGCGCGAUAGAGUACCCUACGUUCUGACUAGAACUACAGGUACUGGACGAAUUCAUUCAACACCGGUAACUCCCGUUCACGGAGUUUAACAAUCGGUAGCUAAUGAAUAUCCCGUUCGGUCUCUAUUAAUUAAAUGUUCUUCAUUUAAUUUUUAGUAGUACCAAAACAUUAUUCUUACGUUUUUAAACUGAGUUCACAUAUUGAACUUUUACGAGUUCGAGUUAACACCCUUGUAUUGUGUAACUUCUAGUACGUCUACAGUGUCAUUAUCUCAAUGAGAUGUGUACCCGUCAUCUAGGUUGAGUAAUGGAACACAAAAGGAUUAUAAUUCCAUCUACAAUAACAGUUUUUAAAUGUUCAAAACAACACGCCCUCUUUAGUUAGAGCUGGCAACACUGUACAAGUACUUCUUGUAGUUUUAGAGUUAACGUUUAUCUGCAUAAUUAGAGCUGUUCAUCGCUUGUACCUCUAUGUACGUAAGACCUUAUGUAGCAUGAGUUGUCUUUAUGUGGUGAUAAUAUUACUUAUCAUUACUACAACGUUUGAACUACAAGUUCACUUUUUGAACUUAACAUAUCUGGAGUUUAAUUUACUCUACUAUAACAUAGUUCAACGUUCUAUUAAGUCGUCCUACUUAAUUAUAAAACGCUCUCUUUUAAUUAGAGUUAGCGAUACUUUAAUAAAACGCUCUCUUUUUAUAAGAGUUAGCGUUUAGUUAUAACAACACGCUCUUUUGAAUUAGAGUUAACGUUUUGUUAUAGUAACAUUAUUAUCCUGUACAAUAUCCCUAACGAUUUUUCGUUUGUGUAGCUUGUACGGUGUAUAUUAUUGGUGUAUAAAAGACCUUACAACUUUGAGUUGUCUUUUACGUCAUUAAUUAUCCCAGAUUUGAUCAAUUUAUGAUCAUUUAUCAUGACAAUUGUCUUAGGUUACACGUUUUAGGGUCUUUAUCCUAUGCAACGUGUUAGCCAGACCUGGUGACAAGCUGGACAAAAGUUUAAGUACGUUGACGUUCCUGGAACUACGUGUUACAGCUUCCCUAUUCCAAGGAAUAGGAGAACAAAAGUACACGCCUAUACUUUAGGGUUACCCCUUAAAAAGAUACGGUGUUGUCGGAAAGCUCUGUCCGAGCGGCUGGCAUCCACGGAGUCGAAGGCAACCCAUGUUGCUGCGCUCGCGGCGCGCCCCCUUCCCCUGGGAGUUGCUGUCGGACCUUCCAACGCGGUACCGGCCUCCCUCCUCGCUGGCGCCGCGCGCGCGAAGUCGGUCGCGGCCGGUCUCCGGCGGUAGUACGGAAGACGUUCACUCCGGAACCAGCGUCCGCGACGCAGUCUACGUCCACCCGCAACGAUACCUCCUUGCCGGCCCCCGGAGCAGUAGGCGACUCUUCGCCGGCGCGGCAGUACCGGGCAGCGCGAGUGCGUCAGACGUCGGCAUCGCGCCUGCUUCUCCCGGCUGCACGAAGAACAGUCGGCAUCCGGUGAGUACGGCAAGUUUUAGCUAUCGCAGCUAGGUAAUUCUCCAUUCUUGUAGGGCUUAACAUCUUCUAAUGGACGUGCGAAUGUCAAGAACAAACCUAAAAGUUAGGUAACUAGUUCCCACGGAAAAGGUAAGCAGAAAAGGAGGCAACUACAGAAAGGCUACCUUCCAACGCUUGUAACAGGACUAAGGUAGGGGUGUACGAGCCUACUUCGUUAAGAGUUGCCGCCAACGGCCAACUGAGCAGUGUCCAGUGUCGCUAAUCGCGAUUAAUCGGACUAGCACAUCACUGCGGUCGGCGAGCCUUCGGUGCGGCGGCCCCGUUCGGUUCCGGCGAGCGGCAACAACAAGCUCCCGGCAUCAGCCCCUCCGUGGCCCAAGGCGCCCGUCCGCAAAGUCCGCAUGUAUUGGCGACGGACCCUACCGGAUAAAGAGAGCAGCCUCUCGUUUCCCAACUAUUGUACAAUUCUCCUUUUACUUAGUUGAGUGAGGAAAUGAUCUACCGUAGACGAUAAAUAUGUUCCCUUUCCUGUGGUAACCUUUUCCACAAACAAGUUUCCUCCACGGAUAAGCCGUCCUCGGCUGCGCCGGCAAAAUGUUGACGGACGCCAAUCAUGUUCGUCCCUAGGGUAUUAAUUGUGUACCAAUUAAUUAAGAUUGUUUUUGGUUC
rnacentral:rRNA from 1 species